CAUAAAGAUUUGCCUUCUUCCUUUUGGAAGGGUCCUGCAAGUCACGCCUUAUCAAAUGAGGCAUGAUACACGAGCGAUCUGCGGCUCUAAAGUCUUCCUCACCAGAUAUCCAUUGGGAGAAGAUGCAGACUCUGAGCCUUGUAUAAAUAUUGUACAGAGAAGGGAAUGGCAAACAAGCUGAAAUGGAGAGGAGGAAGAGCACCUAUUCUAAUACUUUCUGUUCUGUUCUACCAGUGUCUCCAAAGCAGUUGUUCCAACCAUGGCCAACAUAGUAAUGGUUGUCUGUGUUGCCCACCUGACCAGUUCCUAGCACAUGCUUUCCCUGACUGCUGUUCUGAAAUAUCCACUAAGUGUGUCCUUUGAGCAUGAUGCGCUCUUAACCCAUGGGUAAACCUCAUGAAAGGUGAUGAGGAAUGCAUUAUAUUGGGCCAACAAGUGAGUCACAGGGGUUCUCAUCCCAAAGAAACAUAAGCUUCCUUCCCUGCUAAUUAUACUAUGCAUCCUUCUUUUCAUAAAUUUUAUAUUUAUAAAAUAGUUUAAACAACGAAGCAUCCUUCAUCUAAAGAGGACUAAACCAAAAGGAAAAAAAAAAACUUGCAACAGAAAUAAUAUCGUUUUAAUUCUUAUCUCUAAGGUCAGAUGAUAAGUAACAUUCACAUGACACUUUAUCAUUUAUAAAGUGCUUUCACAUACACUCAUUUUAUUUUUGUAUCCUUCAGACUAAAAGGUUGAUGGCAUCACCCCCAUUUUACAGAUGAUGCCAUAAAAGGCUUGGAAAGAUUAGCAGCCCUUCCUGAUCUGAUAUGGCCAUCAGACUGCUCAGCGGGGACUGGAACUGCAGUCUUCUGCUCCUGGCUACACCCUGGGCUGUUCUGGGGCUUGCUGGUGACCAGUUCAACCUCAAACCCUAGUUUACGGAAUUACAUAAAGUCAUGUGCCAUUUGUCUGAAUGGAAACUGGACUACAGCAAAUAGAGCCGAUCAACACAAAGCCACAAUCACCACUUACUAAGGCCCAUUGGGCUCAUUUGUGGAUGUGUUGUACUUGAUCUUGUUGAGCAUGACUCUUAAGUCACCAUGCCUGCUCCUGCCAAUGACCAACACAAACCGGAGGGAUCUUCCGGUGUCAUAAUUAAGACAAGAUAUUUAAAACACAAAUGUGCAAAAACAAUAGAUGCAAAUAUAAGUGUGAAUGCAACACCCUCCCACCCCAACCCCUGCAGGAUCUUCAGUGCCUGGUUAUGCCAUUGCCAGUGGAGAAGGCUGGACGUGC